UAGUCAUACGCUCGUCUCAAAGAUUAAGCCAUGCAUGUGUAAGUAUAAAUAAUUUUACUUUGAAACUGCGAAUGGCUCAUUAUAUCAGUUAUAGUUUAUUAGAAAUACUUUACUACUUGGAUAACCGUAGUAAUUCUAGGGCUAAUACAUGAAUGAAUCCUCAACUUCGGAAGAGGUGUGUUUAUUAGUAUGAAAACCAUCUAUCUUCGGAUAGUUUCGUGAGUAAUAAUAACCUUUCGUAUCGUAUGGGUUUGGAUAACGAUAGUUCUUUCAAGUUUCUGCCCUAUCAGCUUUCGAUGGUAGUAUAUGGGACUACCAUGGCAGUAACGGGUAACGAAGAAUUUGGGUUCGAUUUCGGAGAGGGAGCCUGAGAGAUGGCUACCACAUCCAAGGAAGGCAGCAGGCGCGUAAAUUACCCAAUCCUGACAUAGGGAGGUAGUGACAAUAAAUCACAAUGCGGAACUUUUUAGUUUUGCAAUUGGAUUGAGAACAAUGUACAAAUGUUAUCGAUAAACAAUUGGAGGGCAAGUCUGGUGCCAGCAGCCGCGGUAAUUCCAGCUCCAAUAGCGUAUAUUAACGUUGUU
rnacentral:rRNA from 1 species